rnacentral:rRNA from 1 species
GAUGAACGCUGGCGGCGUGCUUAACACAUGCAAGUCGAACGGAAAGGCCCAAGCUUGCUUGGGUCCUCGAGUGGCGAACGGGUGAGUAACACGUGGGUGAUCUGCCCUGCACUUCGGGAUAAGCCUGGGAAACUGGGUCUAAUACCGGAUAGGACUAUGGUUUGGAUGCCAUUGUUGAAAGUUUUUUCGGUGUGGGAUGAGCUCGCGGCCUAUCAGCUUGUUUGUGGGGUAAUGGCCUACCAAGGCGUCGACGGGUAGCCGGCCUGAGAGGGUGUAAGGCCACAUUGUGACUGAGAGACGGCCCAGACUCCUACGGGAGGCAGAAGUGGGGAAUAUUGUACAAUGGGGGCAAGCCUGAUGCAGCGAAGCGGCGUGGGGGAUGAGGGCCUUUGGGUUGUAAACUCCUUUCGCUAGGGACGAAGCGUUUUUGUGACGGUAACUGGAGAAGAAGCACCGGCUAACUACGUG